UGAGGAAUCUUCCGCAAUGGGCGAAAGCCUGACGGAGCAACACCGCGUGAAGGAUGAAGGUCGUAAGAUUGUAAACUUCUUUUCUGAGGGAAGAAUUCUGACGGUACCUCAGGAAUAAGCAUCGGCUAACUACGUGCCAGCAGCCGCGGUAAGACGUAGGAUGCAAGCGUUAUCCGGAAUUAUUGGGCAUAAAGAGUUCGUAGGCGGUUUGUUAAGUUGGAUGUUAAAUUUUUGAGCUCAACUUAAAAAAAGUAUCCAAAACUGGCAAACUGGAGACUGGUAGAGGUAAGUGGAAUUCUGCAUGUAGGGGUAAUAUCCGUAGAUAUGCAGAGGAACACCAAAAGCGAAGGCAGCUUACUGGACCAGUUCUGACGCUCAAGAACGAAAGCGUGGGUAGCGAACG
rnacentral:rRNA from 1 species